GGAAAGGCCCUUCGGGGUACUCGAGCGGCGAACGGGUGAGUAACACGUGAGCAACCUGCCCUAGGCUUUGGGAUAACCCUCGGAAACGGGGGCUAAUACCGGAUACAACCUUUGGUCGCAUGACUGGGGGUGGAAAGUUUUUCGGCCUGGGAUGGGCUCGCGGCCUAUCAGCUUGUUGGUGGGGUGAUGGCCUACCAAGGCGACGACGGGUAGCCGGCCUGAGAGGGCGACCGGCCACACUGGGACUGAGACACGGCCCAGACUCCUACGGGAGGCAGCAGUGGGGAAUAUUGCACAAUGGGCGGAAGCCUGAUGCAGCGACGCCGCGUGAGGGAUGACGGCCUUCGGGUUGUAAACCUCUUUCAGCAGGGACGAAGCGCAAGUGACGGUACCUGCAGAAGAAGCGCCGGCCAACUACGUGCCAGCAGCCGCGGUAAGACGUAGGGCGCGAGCGUUGUCCGGAUUUAUUGGGCGUAAAGAGCUCGUAGGCGGCUUGUCGCGUCGACCGUGAAAACUUGGGGCUCAACCCCAAGCCUGCGGUCGAUACGGGCAGGCUAGAGUUCGGUAGGGGAGACUGGAAUUCCUGGUGUAGCGGUGAAAUGCGCAGAUAUCAGGAGGAACACCGGUGGCGAAGGCGGGUCUCUGGGCCGAUACUGACGCUGAGGAGCGAAAGCGUGGGGAGCGAACAGGAUUAGAUACCCUGGUAGUCCACGCUGUAAACGUUGGGCGCUAGGUGUGGGGGGCCUCUCCGGUUCUCUGUGCCGCAGCUA
rnacentral:rRNA from 1 species